UACGUAGGGUGCAAGCGUUGUCCGGAAUUAUUGGGCGUAAAGAGCUCGUAGGCGGUUUGUCGCGUCGAAUGUGAAAACCCGGGGCUCAACCCCGGGCCUGCAUUCGAUACGGGCAGACUAGAGUCCGGUAGGGGAGUCUGGAAUUCCUGGUGUAGCGGUGAAAUGCGCAGAUAUCAGGAGGAACACCGGUGGCGAAGGCGGGACUCUGGGCCGAUACUGACGCUGAGGAGCGAAAGCGUGGGGAGCAAACAGG
rnacentral:rRNA from 1 species